GGGUUUGAUCCUGGCUCAGGAUGAACGCUGGCGGCGUGCUUAACACAUGCAAGUCGAACGAUGAUCCGGUGCUUGCACCGGGGAUUAGUGGCGAACGGGUGAGUAACACGUGAGUAACCUGCCCUUGACUCUGGGAUAAGCCUGGGAAACUGGGUCUAAUACCGGAUAUGACUCCUCAUCGCAUGGUGGGGGGUGGAAAGCUUUUGCGGUUUUGGAUGGACUCGCGGCCUAUCAGCUUGUUGGUGAGGUAAUGGCUCACCAAGGCGACGACGGGUAGCCGGCCUGAGAGGGUGACCGGCCACACUGGGACUGAGACACGGCCCAGACUCCUACGGGAGGCAGCAGUGGGGAAUAUUGCACAAUGGGCGAAAGCCUGAUGCAGCGACGCCGCGUGAGGGAUGACGGCCUUCGGGUUGUAAACCUCUUUCAGUAGGGAAGAAGCGAAAGUGACGGUACCUGCAGAAGAAGCGCCGGCUAACUACGUGCCAGCAGCCGCGGUAAUACGUAGGGCGCAAGCGUUAUCCGGAAUUAUUGGGCGUAAAGAGCUCGUAGGCGGUUUGUCGCGUCUGCCGUGAAAGUCCGGGGCUCAACUCCGGAUCUGCGGUGGGUACGGGCAGACUAGAGUGAUGUAGGGGAGACUGGAAUUCCUGGUGUAGCGGUGAAAUGCGCAGAUAUCAGGAGGAACACCGAUGGCGAAGGCAGGUCUCUGGGCAUUAACUGACGCUGAGGAGCGAAAGCAUGGGGAGCGAACAGGAUUAGAUACCCUGGUAGU
rnacentral:rRNA from 1 species